rnacentral:tRNA from 1 species
AAGCCUUGUGAUGUCUAGCAUAUAAAAUUGCAAAUUUUAAAGAGCAGAGUUACUUCUGCCGGGGCUUC